rnacentral:rRNA from 1 species
ACGUAGGGGGCAAGCGUUAUCCGGAAUAAUUGGGCAUAAAGGGCGCGUAGGCGGCCUGGUAAGUCUGGAGUGAAAGUCCUGCUUUUAAGGGGGGAAUUGCUUUGGAUACUGUCGGACUUGAGUGCAGAAGCGGUCAGUGGAAUUCACGGUGUAGCGGUGAAAUGCGUAGAGAUCGGGAAGAACACAAGUGGCGAAGGCGACUUACCGGACUGUAACUGUCCCUAAGGCGCAAAACAGUGGCGAGCAUACAG